rnacentral:rRNA from 1 species
UACGGAGGGUGCAAACGUUGCUCGGAAUCAUUGGGCGUAAAGCGCACGUAGGCGGCCCAGCAAGUCGGGUGUGAAAGCCCUCGGCUUAACCGAGGAAGUGCAUUCGAAACUACUGAGCUUGAAUACUGGAGAGGAUCGCGGAAUUCCCGGUGUAGAGGUGAAAUUCGUAGAUAUCCGGAGGAACACCAGCGGCGAAGGCGGCGUCCUGGACUGGUACUGACGCUCAGGAGCGAAAGCGUGGGGAGCGAUCCGG